GUCGCCACGACCAUGUGGUGUACAGAGUCCUAAAUUUUGGGGCUCCCAAACUGUUAAGGAAGAAAUCGAUG
rnacentral:sRNA from 1 species